rnacentral:rRNA from 1 species
UACAGAGGUCUCAAGCGUUGUUCGGAUUCAUUGGGCGAAAAGGGUGUGUAGGUGGCGCGCUAAGUCGGGUGUGAAAUUUCGGAGCUUAACUCCGAAACUGCAUUCGAUACUGGCGUGCUUGAGGACUGGAGAGGAGACUGGAAUUCAUGGUGUAGCAGUGAAAUGCGUAGAGAUCAUGAGGAAGACCAGUGGCGAAGGCGGGUCUCUGGACAGUUCCUGACACUGAGACACGAAGGCCAGGGGAGCAAACGGG